UACGGCCGCAAGGUUAAAACUCAAAUGAAUUGACGGGGGCCCGCACAAGCGGUGGAGCAUGUGGUUUAAUUCGAUGCAACGCGAAGAACCUUACCUGGUCUUGACAUCCACAGAACUUUCCAGAGAUGGAUUGGUGCCUUCGGGAACUGUGAGACAGGUGCUGCAUGGCUGUCGUCAGCUCGUGUUGUGAAAUGUUGGGUUAAGUCCCGCAACGAGCGCAACCCUUAUCCUUUGUUGCCAGCGAUUAGGUCGGGAACUCAAAGGAGACUGCCAGUGAUAAACUGGAGGAAGGUGGGGAUGACGUCAAGUCAUCAUGGCCCUUACGACCAGGGCUACACACGUGCUACAAUGGCGCAUACAAAGAGAAGCGACCUCGCGAGAGCAAGCGGACCUCAUAAAGUGCGUCGUAGUCCGGAUUGGAGUCUGCAACUCGACUCCAUGAAGUCGGAAUCGCUAGUAAUCGUGGAUCAGAAUGCCACGGUGAAUACGUUCCCGGGCCUUGUACACACCGCCCGUCACACCAUGGGAGUGGGUUGCAAAAGAAGUAGGUAGCUUAACCUUCGGGAGGGCGCUUACCACUUUGUGAUUCAUGACUGGGGUGAAGUCGUAACAAGGUAACCGUAGGGGAACCUGCGGUUGGAUCACCUCCUUACCUUAAAGAA
rnacentral:rRNA from 1 species